rnacentral:misc_RNA from 1 species
AACAUCGCGCACCUGCGGGAACCUGCGGAAGGAUCAUUACAGAGUUGCAAAACUCCCUAAACCAUUGUGAAUGUUACCUAAACCGUUGCUUCGGCGGGCGGCCCGGGUCCUUCCCGGCGCCCAUCGGCCCUCGCGGGCGCCCGCCGGAGGUAAACCAAACUAUUGCAUUGUAUGGCCUCUCUGAGUCUUCUGUACUGAAUAAGUCAAAACUUUCAACAACGGAUCUCAGAUCGGAAGAGC